CUGCUUUCUGUGCUGUCGACAGACUGAACCCAGGGCUGGCUGCAUGCUAGUUCAUGGGGUCAUCCACACAUUUAAUCCUGGCUCUUGAGGGAUGAGGGCGUAGAGGCAGGAUGAUCAUCCUCAACAACUCGAUGAAUUCAGCUGUAUACCUAACUUGAGGAUUCGGGUCUUCAGAUGGCACAAACAGGAAGAUGGGUAGAAAUAUGGGCACACUGUGGAUUCAUGAGCAACUACAUUGCGGGAAACCUGUGAAAAUGAGAUGGGUUAGCUGGUUGAGAUAUUUAUCACCACGCCUGACCACCUGAGUUCAGUGGCUGAAACCAACAUGGAAGCAUGGAAGGAGAGAACCAACUGCUACAAAUUAUCCUCUAACCUACACACACA
rnacentral:lncRNA from 1 species